AUAGAUAGAUAGAAAGAUAAAUAGAUAGAUAGAUAGAUAGAUAGAUAGAUAGAUAGAUAGCUAGAUAGAUAUCUGGAUUUGGAUAAAUAGAUAGAUAGAUAGAUAGAUAGAUAGCAGAGGGGGAUAUUGUAGUUUUAAAAUUAUUUUUUAGAAAUAUAAUCAUAAAAUGUAUAAAUGUUAAUAGUUUUUCGUUCAAUUAGAAAUAUAAAUUUUUUCCAUCAAUGUCAUUUUUAAAGCAUAUUUUUACAUGAUUCUUACAAAUUCUUGGAGACAUAGAAAUGCAAUUUUCCUUUUUAUUUUGUUUGCAUUCUGUGACAAGGGAGAAGGCACAUCCAAAUAAUUAGUUGUUUUUUUGUUCUGGGUACAGGAUCAUUUAUAGUGGUGUAAAUGGUUUGGUGGAAUUUAGAUGUUUUUAUACAGUUCCAAAAAUUGUCCUUGACAGAUUGAUUUCAGAUAUGAAAUAGUGGGCUCUAUCCAGUGUUGUUUGCUUUGUGCAUGUUAUAAACACUUGCUUGUAAGCAGUGAGAUACACACAGAGUCAGUUUGCAUAACAUUUUACAAGAAUACAUGUACAUAAAACCGAAUAUAUUGCUGCAUAUCUUUUCAAAAGUGCAUUUUAGGUUUUGCAUUACAACUCACAACCCACAGAGCCCUCAGCAGGUAGCAGCACCAACCCCUCUUCAUUCUUCACCUAGGGAUGGUUAAUGGGGCCCAGAAAAUUCAUUGUUCUAACCUUGUCUAACAUCUGGGCUCUAGGCAGCUGCCUAGGGUCACUUUAUGGUCAGUUCUGCUCUGCAAACACACCUUGUUUGAGAUGCCAGUGAGUAUUUGGCUUCUCACCCAUAUAAUUUAGUAUCUGAGUGAGAUGUAUCUGAUACAGGUCAGUAAAUGCUCUGGUGUGUCAUUGUUUCUGAAACAUUAGGAUCACAUGUAUGCAAUGGUAGCAACUCAUAUGCCCUUCAUGCAAUUAUUAUUAUUAGUAUUAGUAUUAUUAUUUUGAUUUAUGUAGCAUCUACAUAAUCUAGGCAACUUUAUAAUUUUACAAUUGAGAUUUUAUCUCUUUUGCUGUACGUGAGCCCAUAUAGCUCACAUUGUACAAGGUUUAUAGUCCAAGGAUGUCAGAGGAUUAAUGGAAAGAUCUGUGCACUGUGCAAGCAUAUUUGGAGCUUACAAUAAUAAACCAUAAUGCCCAAUGCCUGUCUUUAUCCAGGCAACUAUAACUACUGGAUGUGGUCGGAAAUAAUUUUAACAUUCUGGUGGUAUCCUUGGAAAGCUUUAGUCCCAAAAACUCAAUGAAUUUCAUUAGUAUAUUGUUUGUUUUUAUGUAUUUUGUUGCAUUGAUAGACAGCAUCUAAAAAAAUGGUAUUUGUCUUAAUAGGUCAAUAUUUCAUUACUUGUCUGAGGUAUUGCUAGGUAAGGAAUACUAUAUAAUCUCUUAAAAUUCUACUCUCUGCUAUAUUUAUGCAAAGAAUAAAUAAAAAAAUGAAAAAUGAAAGUGUAGAGAUCACUAGUAUGAUAUGUUGAACAUCAUCGCUUAUAAAUGUCUUGUAUGUUAUCUCUUCAAUAUUUGUGUAAAAUAAAAUAAGAGAAAAAUAAAAAUUGUGUUCAUGUAACCUGGGACAAAAAGGACGUAGAAUCGAAGGAGUUUUUGAAGUAUAUACGAAUUAAGAGACAGUGGUUCUCAUGCUUUCUCUCCCCAGAUCUGCCAAGCAUUUUAAUAUUAAAAACUAGUUAAAACUGCAUUCUAUAUGAUCUCCCAAGUUAUGCUACCAACAUGUUACAUUAAAUUCAGUACAUGUUGUUGCUUUUAGGUUACAUAUUAAAUUCACAUGUUCUCUUCUUGCAGCCAUGUGUACGAAUGUCUUGUGAUGGUAAACACAAAUGUUGAUCUCACCCUGUAUUUUAUAUAUGUGUUCAGCUAUUAGAUAUGUUUUAUUGCAAACAUUUCGGCACUGCUCUAUUUUUAUAAUAUAAGAUUAUUGGAUCUAUGUUACUGUAUAUAAGUCAACAAUCUGUUAUAUAUACAACACAAAAUAAAAUACACACAUAAACUUUUA